AAAUGCUGCAUUGAGUCUUAUCUUCAUGCAAAUAUAAAUGGCAACAGGCAAACAAGUGCAACUUCCUUGGGGCCCUUCUGUUUUUGCCUCGAAACAAGUGGAUCGCUCUUUGAAUCAAAAAGCAUAAAGAGAGUCAGAUGAUUAGGCUGGCUGUAUCAGGGCCUCAUAUUGAAAGUUCCAAACCUGAAGCUUUUCAUGUUUUCCCUUCCUCUUUUAGAUUCUUGGCAUAGGUAAUCUGUAUAUUACAUGAUUGGGUCUUGAUCUAUUUGUUCUGACCUUGUGGGCACUGC
rnacentral:lncRNA from 1 species